GGUAAGGGGACAUAUACGAAUGAUAAGGCUGGAUUGACACUUGCUGAUCUUGCUUACCGACGUGCAAAAGCAGUGAAGAAUCAUCAAAAGAAAUCUAAUAAAUCUAAUCCUUUGCCAAAACCUUCCUCUUCCAGGCUAGAGGAAAUGCGGGAGCUAUUCCAGAGUGACGUGAAGGAUAAAAAGCCGAAACGAAGAGGUUCUUGAACAGGAAAGAAGGCGAAGAAGUCAUUGAAAAGCAAGUCAAGCUGUAACCAGUGCUGCCAUGCUGAUCGGUUGCAGUUCCCAGGAAUUAAUAACGGCAUUAUCUACCCAUAAAAUCCAACCUUGCGAGCGAGGACACUGUUGCCACAAGUUUGACAUUAUUGCAGGGUAAGGGGACAUAUAAGAAUGAUAAGGCUGGAUUGACACUUGCUGAUCUUGCUUACCGACGUGCAAAAGCAGUAAAGGCCACCAAGAGGGCACUAGACUCUGGCAAGAUUGUGAAGAAUCAUCAAAAGAAAUCUAAUAAAUCUAAUCCUUUGCCAAAACCUUCCUCUUCCAGGCUAGAGGAAAUGCGGGAGCUAUUCCAGACUGGCGUGAAGGAUAAAAAGCCGAAAUGGAGAGGUUCUUGAACAGGAAAGAAGGCGAAGAAGUCAUUGAAAAGCAAGUCAAGCUGUAACCAGUGCUGCCAUGCUGAUGGGUUGCAGUUCCCAGGAAUUAAUAACGGCAUUAUCUACCCAUAAAAUCCAACCUUGCGAGCGAGGACACUGUUGCCACAAGUUUGACAUUAUUGCAGGCAAUUGAAACAAGAGAUACAAUUGCCAAAUUUAUUUAUGCAAGCUUGUUUGAAUGGCUUGUACAACAAGUUAACAAGUCACUUGCACUGGGUGAAAACCAUACAGAGAAAUUCAUUAGUAUCCUUGCUUUUUAUGGGUUUCAGCCAUUCCAGGUAUUCAACAUGAUUCGUUGCGUGUGACAGACUUGAUAAUUCCUUCUCAUAAUAUGUAGUUGAAGCAAAGGUGAUUUUCAAUUUGUGUUUUGAACCGUCGAUCACAUAAGAAAGAUCACUCACGCAGUCAUGCUGCAAAGGUUUGCGGCACUCUGUAAACUUCUAUUGUUUCCUCUUCUUUUGCUAUCUCUCUGAACUCAUUUUUAUAUUUGCUAUUUUCACUUCCUAAAUUCAUUAUGAUUUCUAUUGAUCACUGUUUUUUCUCCCUUAUGAUUUUUCACCCGUUUGGUGAAUUUUAUGAAGUUUAAAAAGU